rnacentral:pre_miRNA from 13 species
GAAUUCCUUAUAAAUCUAGCCUCUACUAGGCUUUGUCUGUGCACUUUUUCAAUUCAAUCAGACAUAGCCUAUGAGAGGUUAGGUGUACAAAUGGAUC